rnacentral:tRNA from 1 species
GGACCAGUAGCUCAGUGGGAGAGCACGGCACUGAAGACGCCGCCUGCCGCGGUUCGAAUCCGCGCUGGUCCA